rnacentral:rRNA from 2 species
AUUGCCUUAGUAACGGCGAGUGAAGCGGCAAUAGCUCAAAUUUGAAAUCUGGCUCUUUCAGAGUCCGAGUUGUAAUUUGUAGAAGAUGCUUCGGCUUACGUAUCGGUCUAAGUUCCUUGGAACAGGACGUCACAGAGGGUGAGAAUCCCGUUUGUGGCCGGUACUUCCGCCAUGUGAAGCUCCUUCGACGAGUCGAGUUGUUUGGGAAUGCAGCUCUAAAUGGGAGGUAAAUUUCUUCUAAAGCUAAAUAUUGGCCAGAGACCGAUAGCGCACAAGUAGAGUGAUCGAAAGAUGAAAAGCACUUUGGAAAGAGAGUUAAAAAGUACGUGAAAUUGUUGAAAGGGAAGCGCUUGCGACCAGACUUGCCUUUAGUUGCUCCGCCGGUCCUUCGACCGGUGUAUUCUUCUAUUGUCAGGCCAGCAUCAGUUUGGGUGGUUGGAUAAAGGCAUUGGGAAUGUGACUCUCUUCGGGGAGUGUUAUAGCCCUUUGUGCAAUACAGCCUACCUAGACUGAGGACCGCGCUUCGGCUAGGAUGCUGGCGUAAUGGUCGUAAGCGGCCCGUCUUGAAACACGGACCAAGGAGUCUAACAUCUAUGCGAGUGUUUGGGUGUCAAACCCGUGCGCGAAAUGAAAGUGAACGGAGGUGGGAACCUUAGGGUGCACCAUCGACCGAUCCUGAUGUCUUCGGAUGGAUUUGAGUAAGAGCAUAGCUGUUGGGACCCGAAAGAUGGUGAACUAUGCCUGAAUAGGGUGAAGCCAGAGGAAACUCUGGUGGAGGCUCGCAGCGGUUCUGACGUGCAAAUCGAUCGUCAAAUUUGGGUAUAGGGGCGAAAGACUAAUCGAACCAUUAAACAACUUAUUAACUUUAGUUACUAGGUGGUUAAGAGGCGGCUAAAA